GACCUCAAAUCAGGUAAGAAUACCCGCUGAACUUAAGCAUAUCAAUAAGCGGAGGAAAAGAAAAUAACAAUGAUUCCCUCAGUAACGGCGAGCGAAGAGGGAUAAGCUCAAAUUUUAAAUCUGUUGGGUUCCGCUUAACAGAGUUGUAUUUUGAAGAAACGUUUUCUGCGUCCAGGAUUAGCCUAAAUCCUUUGGGAUAAGGUAUCAUGGAGGGUGAGAAUCCCGUUCAUGGUUAAUCUUAAGGAAGCUCUACGAUACGUUUUCCAAGAGUCGAGUUGUUUGGGAUUGCAGCUCAAAAUGGGAGGUAAAUUUCUCCUAAGGCUAAAUAUUGGCGAGAGACCGAUAGCGAACAAGUACCGUGAGGGAAAGAUGAAAAGAACUUUGAAAAGAGAGUUAAACAGUACGUGAAAUUGUUGAAAGGGAAACGAUUGAAGUCAGUCAUACCAACGGGAAAUCAACCUUUUGAGCUUGGUUUCGUGGGUUUUGAAGAGUUUCAAAGCCUUCGGAUUCGCGAGAUUGGGAUCUCUCGGUGUACUUUCUCGUACGGUUAGUCAACAUCGGUUUUGAAUGUCAUAAAAUGACUGGAGGAAUGUAGCUUCGAUCUCGUAUUGAAGUGUUAUAGCCUUUGGUAGAUGUGAUGUUUGAGACCGAGGAUUGCAACGGAUACCCUUCAGGGCUAUUCGUCUGAUCUCUGAUACGUUGCCCUGAUGUUGAAAGCUUGCUUAUGAUGUUAGGGUAUUACGGUCAAAAGGUUAGAACGAAUUACAUUCGUUAAGGAUGUUGACGUAAUGACUUUAAACGACCCGUCUUGAAACACGGACCAAGGAGUCUAACAUAUAUGCGAGUGUUUGGGUGAUUAAACCCUUGCGCGUAAUGAAAGUAAUUUUGGUGAGAUCCGGGAAAAAAUUUUCGGAGCAUCAUCGACCGAUCAGGAUAUUU
rnacentral:rRNA from 1 species